UCAAGCUAAAAAGGGCGGACGGUGGAUGCCUUGGCGGUAGGAGGCGAUGAAGGACGUGGUUAGCUGCGAAAAGCGUCGGGGAGCUGCUAAGCAAGCUUUGAUCCGGCGAUGUCCGAAUGGGGAAACCCGGCUGGGGUCAUGCCCAGUCAUCUUUCACUGAAUACAUAGGUGAAAGAGGCGAACCCGGGGAACUGAAACAUCUCAGUACCCGGAGGAAAGUAAAUCAAUUGAGACUCCCUGAGUAGCGGCGAGCGAAACGGGAUUAUGGCCAAACCGGCGGGAAGCAAUUCCUUCCGGGGUUGUGGGACUCCGAUGUGGGACUCUGAUGGAUAGCGGAAUGGUCUGGAAAGGCCGGCCGAAGAGGGUGAAAGCCCCGUAUGUGAAAUCUUGAAGAGCUCUAGGAGUAUCCCGAGUACCACGGGACACGAGAAAUCUUGUGGGAAUCUGGGGGGACCAUCCUCCAAGCCUAAGUACUACCUACCGACCGAUAGUGAACCAGUACCGUGAGGGAAAGGUGAAAAGCACCCCGUUGAGGGGAGUGAAAUAGACCUGAAACCGUUUGCCUACAUGCAGUAGGAGCUCUAUGGCGAUUCUUCGGAAUCGCAAUGAGUGACUGCGUACCUUUUGUUUAAUGGGUCCGCGAGUUAUUCCUCAGUAGCAAGGUUAAGCCGCCAGGUGUAGCCGCAGCGAAAGCGAGUCUGAAUAGGGCGUCUAGUUACUGGGGAUAGACCCGAAACCAAGUGAUCUAUCCAUGGCCAGGUUGAAGCUCAGGUAAGACUGAGUGGAGGACCGAACCGUAGUAGGUUGAAAACUACCCGGAUGAGCUGUGGAUAGGGGUGAAAGGCCAAUCAAACUUGGAGAUAGCUGGUUCUCCCCGAAAUAUAUUUAGGUAUAGCCUUGCGUUUAUACCACCGGAGGUAGAGCACUGACUGGGCUAGGGGUCCUACCAGAUUACCGAACCCAAUCAAACUCCGAAUACCGGUGAGUACUGCGCAGGAGUCAGACUGCGGGUGAUAAGAUCCGUGGUCGAGAGGGAAAGAACCCAGACCGCCGGCUAAGGUCCCUAAAUCAUUGCUGAGUGGGAAAGGAAGUGAGAGCGCUUAGACAACCAGGAUGUUGGCUUAGAAGCAGCCACCAUUUAAAAAGUGCGUAACAGCUUACUGGUCUAGUGAAUUCGCGCCGAAAAUGUAACGGGGCUAAGCAAUGUACCGAAGCCGCGGGACUCAAUUCUCUUCGGAGUUUUGAGUCGGUAGGGGAGCGUUCCAUACACGUUGAAGGUCUACCGUAAGGAGGGCUGGAGAGUAUGGAAGUGAUGAUGCGGACAUGAGUAGCGAUAAACAGGGUGAGAAACCCUGUCGCCGUAAACCUAAGGGUUCCUGAGUCAAGCUAAUCUUCUCAGGGUUAGUCGGCCCCUAAGCCGAGGGCGAAAGCCGUAGGCGAUGGGAAUCGGGUUAAUAUUCCCGAACCACUAGAUAGCCGUUCGACCGAAGGGGGGACGGAGAAGGAUAGCUCAGCCCGUUAUUGGAUUCGGGUGAACGUCAAUAGGCGGGAAGUGUAGGCAAAUCCGCACUUCUAUCUAACGCUGAGGGACGGGACGGUGGCCAAUAUGGCCCGUAAGUGAGUGAUUCCAUGCUUCCUAGAAAAGCCUCGUAGGGAGGUUGUCUGGUGACCGUACCGCAAACCAACACAGGUAGGUGGGCAGAGCAUGCCAAGGCGCUUGAGAUAACUCUGGUUAAGGAACUCGGCAAAAUGACACCGUAACUUCGGGAGAAGGUGUGCCUUUUCUGGUGAAGGACUUCGCGUCUGGAGCUGGGAGAGGUUGCAGAGACCAGGGGGUAGCGACUGUUUACUAAAAACACAGGACUCUGCGAAGUCGCAAGACGACGUAUAGGGUCUGACGCCUGCCCGGUGCCGGAAGGUUAAGGGAACCUGUUAGCUCUUCGGAGCGAAGCAGCGAACCGAAGCCCCGGUAAACGGCGGCCGUAACUAUAACGGUCCUAAGGUAGCGAAAUUCCUUGUCGGGUAAGUUCCGACCUGCACGAAUGGCAUAACGACUUCCCCACUGUCUCAACCAGGGACUCAGCGAAAUUGAAUUGCCGGUGAAGAUGCCGGCGACCCGCAGCAGGACGGAAAGACCCCGUGCACCUUUACUA
rnacentral:rRNA from 1 species